GGGGCUCCGAGUGGCAACAAGUUCCAGGAGUCAGCAGUGUACCCUUGUGGCCAAGAAGGCCAGUUGUCCCCUGGGGCACGUUAGGAAGGGCGGUUUUGAAAAGUUAUCCUCUCUGCAUACUCUGCCAUGGAAAUACUUUUGAGAAGUGUUUGAAUGUAGGUGUUCAAAAGCUGUGAUCAAAACCGAUAGAAAAGACAACAAAGCUUUAAGAAAGUUUUUAGCACACACUCAAGAGGCCCAAGAAAAGGAAGAAAUAAGAGAAACAAAGAGUGGCAUGUGAGAGAAAACUGAAAAAUUCACAUAUUGGAAAACUUUAUGUAGAUCUGUCAGAAAGCAUAGCACAUAGCAGGCAAUCAACAGUCCUUCAUGUUAGGACUAAUUCUGAAGCAUUCCAGAGUGUUUCUGGGUACAACAGUGUGAUGGAUGUGCAGAAGUGCAUUUGAGCUGAUCUAAUCUGUUGUACUGCAAAGGAGCUUGAGAGAUGGAUUAAAAUGCCAGUGAAGCUUGAGAUGUCUUUGCACUAUGAAGAGUUUAAUUUAAUUGCCUGGAGAUGCUGAAACAUCAUCAAAAUGAGGGAAGAGUUUUGAAAUGAAUUUACAGUAUUCUGCAAAGAGCUGUGCGCUCUUAACAUAAAUUUCACCAUAAAUUUAUUCCUCAACUUCUUCAGUGAACAGAUACAAGAGAUCUUGAAUAUCUUGCGUGUUAUAUCUUCAAAGAGUAUGUUUACUUACCUGCCUUAGAAGGACCCUGAGAGGUAAUGCCUGUAAACCCCAGACGAGGCACUCACCAUUAGUACAGAGGAAGGAAAAGCUGUGUGUUUUGCCUGCUCUCUGAUCACAUCCAGGUCACAUUAAAAUCUGGAAGCCAAAGUAACUAAAUGGGCUCAAAGUUUCCUACUAAUAGAACCUGAAGUCAGAUGAGGACAUUUCUCUCCAGGCACAUCAGAAUUCUGGAUUAGGUAAUUAACCUAAUCUUUCACAGGAGAGAUGUUUGGGUGAGCUGGUAAGGAUAUAGAAGCAGCAUACACUUUCCUUUUCUCCAAGAUAUCUUCCCCUGCUCAGAACUGGAAGAUGGGGAACUGAUUCGUAUGUAUAUGAUAUACCUGGCACAUAAUAACUCAGGAUGUUGUUAAGCCAAAGUAUACAGAUCUGGUCGUGUUUCACCUGAAUUUAGCUGUUUUUUUUAAAAUUGUGUUUUAUUUCAAAUCCUGGAAAAGAAAUAGAUAUUCACUGGUUUGACACUCAAAUACUGAUAUGAACUUGGAAAAACACUUGGGAUUAAUGCAACUAAGAAUCAACUCUUGUCUUCCUGAUCAAAUAUGUGUGAACAAAUUAGUUAUAUUGUUCCAGAUACUUCUAUUCAUAAUUUUUCUGCUCAGAUGUUGAAUGCACGUUUGAAAAUCUUGGUCUUCAAUAAAGGUUUGAUUAAAAU